UACAGAGGGUGCAAACGUUGCUCGGAAUCACUGGGCGUAAAGGGUGCGUAGGCGGGUCUUUAAGUCAGGGGUGAAAUCCUGGAGCUCAACUCCAGAACUGCCUUUGAUACUGAGGAUCUUGAGUUCGGGAGAGGUGAGUGGAACUGCGAGUGUAGAGGUGAAAUUCGUAGAUAUUCGCAAGAACACCAGUGGCGAAGGCGGCUCACUGGCCCGAUACUGACGCUGAGGCACGAAAGCGUGGGGAGCAAACAGG
rnacentral:rRNA from 1 species